UAGGGAAUCUUCCGCAAUGGGCGAAAGCCUGACGGAGCAACGCCUCGUGAGUGAUGAAGGUCUUCGGAUCGUAAAACUCUGUUAUUUGGGAAGAUCAAAUGUGUAAGUAACUAUGCACGUCUUGACGGUACCUAAUCAGAAAGCCACGGCUAACUACGUGCCAGCAGCCGCGGUAAUACGUAGGUGGCAAGUGUUAUCCGGAAUUAUUGGGCGUAAAGCGCGCGUAGGCGGUUUUUUAAGUCUGAUGUGAAAGCCCACGGCUCAACCGUGGAGGGUCAUUGGAAACUGGAGAACUUGAGUGCAGAAGAGGAAAGUGGAAUUCCAUGUGUAGCGGUGAAAUGCGCAGAGCUAUGGAGGAACACCAGUGGCGAAGGCGACUUUCUGGUCUGUAACUGACGCUGAUGUGCGAAAGCGUGGGGAUCAAACAGG
rnacentral:rRNA from 1 species